AGCAGCAGCCGCGGGAAUACGAAGGGUGCAAGCGUUACUCGGAAUUACUGGGCGUAAAGCGUGUGUAGGUGGUUGUUUAAGUCUGUCGUGAAAGCCCUGGGCUCAACCUGGGAAUUGCGAUGGAUACUGGGCGACUAGAGUGCGGUAGAGGAUAGUGGAAUUUCCGGUGUAGCAGUGAAAUGCGUAGAGAUCGGAAGGAACAUCUGUGGCGAAGGCGGCCAUCUGGGACAACACUGACGCUGAGGCACGAAAGCGUGGGGAGCAAACAGGAUUAGAUACCCCAGUAGUCCCUGUCUCUUAUAC
rnacentral:rRNA from 1 species